ACCGCUUUAGGAACCUCCCCUUCUAUAUAUGUUCCAUCAAUCGCACCAACACAAUCCUAUCAAAUAAAAAAUACAUCAAUAUUAGUUUAGUGAAUAUAAAAUAAAUUGGAAGCAUUAUAGAAUGCACUUUCAUAAAAAUAAUGUUUGUAAGAGUAAUAAAAAUAGUGCUUCCAAGACAAUGCAAAGUCAUAAAAUAAAUAUUAUCUCUUUAAACAAAGUUGUAGAAAAUAUGUAACUAAAUACUAAUAACUUACACAUAAAAUAUAAAUGUUCACUUAUUAAGGCCAUAAAAUAAAUUUAUUAAUGUGAUUGAAAUUUUACCUUAAACCAAGGCCAAAAUCGAAUAUUAUGUCUAAUUUUGGAAUGUACGCCAGUCAUAUUUUUUGGUUGUAUGAAUGUUCGUGCCAUCUUGCUAAUUGCCUCGGCAACUAUUUUAACAUGCCGGUUAAUUGUUUCAAGUGAAUGUUGAAAAGUUUCACAAUCGUGAGGUGUUAGUUAAAGUGACUAUAUGUUGGUGAGAAUAAUAAAUUUUAUAUCGGUGAGAAUAAUAAAUUUUAAAAAGUAAUGAUGUGAUUAUAAAUUUUAUUUACAUAUGAAACAAAUGGUUAGUAGAUAUAAAUGUGGGCUGUUUUAACAAAAUAUAAACUCAUGGAACAAUUAUUGUAUUAAAAUAUCUCAAAUCAUGAUAUGGAAUCACCAUAUAAUUUCAUAUCAUGGUUUUUGGAGAAUAUGGUAUCACCUCUCAUGAUAUGGAAUCAUGAGAUGGAAUCAGCGUAAAAUCGCAUGUCCAAACGCUGAUUCCAUCUCACGAUACCAUAUCGUGAUAUGGUAUCGCAUGGUCAAACGCCUACUUAGUGUCUGAGCGGUCACGACAAUACACUCGGUAUGAAUGUCUAAAGGAAUUUAUUUUUCAAAUUAAAGCCCUAUGUGUUUCAUCCCAUCAUGUGUGAGUGGGAGAUGUUGGAAAUAGAUACACUCAUUGAUGGUUGACUAGUAACUUGCUUCAUUCAUGAAGUAAGUUACAACUCCACUAAAUAACUCCAUAUAGUAAAAGAAGAAGAGUUAUGUAUUCUUGAAUGGAGUGGGAGUUAUAGGGUAAGGGGGGAUGUAACUCUUGAAUGAAUAAGAGUGACAAGUCCUACCUUGUCCUAUAAAAGGGAGGGAACUUGGGGUCAUCCAAGAAACAACAACAAACAACACAAGAAAAGAGUUCCUUAGAUAAAGAGUGUAGUUGUUGUGAAAAACAAUACAAGACUCCAUAGUGAUCUUGUAAGAAACCGCUUAGGCAAUUGGUGGUGAUAGCACUUGAUCCUAUAACAAGAAGGUAUGUAUAAUUCCGCAUAAAUCUCCGAGUUUAAAUCCUUCAAAAUGGAUAGAGGUGAUGCCUAUGUCUAAAAUCACUCACUUAGCCUCAACUGGUUCUGACCACUGUCCCCUGCUUCUGGAAAGUGUUGACAGAAAUACCAAUACUAUCAAAUACUACAAAUUCCUACAUUUUUGGGUGGAUAAUCCAAAGUUUCUAGAUAUUGUGUAAGCUUGCUGGGAAAGACCAGUUGACGGUAAUCCUAUGAGAAUUUUUCAGCUAAAAUUGAAAAGAGUGCCAAUACUCUUAGCAACUAGUCUAGACAGGAAUAUGGAGAUAUUUUUAACAGUGUUAAGGAGUAUGAGGAGAAGGUUAAAAGUGUUGAAGCAGAUAUCAUCAAUGACAACAAUGAGUAAAAUAGAACCAAGCUCAAUAGAUUAAUGCUCAAUGCAUCAGAUACUUAAAAAUUGAGCAAUCCACUCUCAAACAGAGAUGCAAACUCCAAGUAUAUCCAUGCUAUUAUCAGAGGCAGGAGAAGUAAGUCGUUUAUCCACAAAAUCAGUGAUGAUCAUGGUAAUACUAUCAAGGGGGAUGAGAAUAUUGCAAGGGCUGCAUGUUGUCGUUUUGAGAAAAUCUUUACAGGGGAAGAUAACCUGAUCAAUGAGGAAGUCCUUAGAUGCAUUCCUAGCAUGAUCACUGAGUAUCAAAACCAAAAACUCCAGGCCAUGCCAACAAAAGAGUAACUGAAACAGGCUGUCUGGUCAAUGAGUGCUAAUUCUGUAGCUGGUCCGGAUGGAAUAAGUGGCAUGUUUUCCAUUCCUGCUGGGAUAUCAUCAGUGAUGAUCUCUUUAACAUGAUGCAGCUAUUUUUUUGUGGCCACAGUAUUCCUAAAUUUAUUUCUCAUGCUUACCUAGUGUUACUCCCAAAAGUGAAUCAUCCUAAUAAGUUUUCUUAAUUCAGACCUAUCUUCCACAGUAAUUUUACCAACAAGGUUUUUUUUUUUGAUAACCGAGAAAUCCAUCUGACCCGCCCUUUGGACCAAUCACAGCCUUCUAAAGUCGGUAGAUAAUGGGCCCACCCCUCUACCCUUCUCCACUUAAAUACCAGGCUUUGCUUUGCAUGAUGUGAGGCUUGAACCUGCGACCUAAGCCACAGAUCCUCCACCUUUUGCCACUCGAGCUAGGCCUUGGGGGCACCAACAAGGUUAUUUCCAAGCUGCUAUAUCUCAGAUUAGCCCCCAUCCUGCCUCGUCUUAUUUCUGAGAACUAGUCUGGAUUUGUUCAAGGAAGGAGUAUUUAUGAAAAUAUUAUGCUAGCUUAGGAGCUUAUUCACGAUAUAAAUAAGCCCAAGACAGGAGACAAUGUGGUCAUAAAACUUGACAUGGCCAAAGCUUAUGACAGGGUUUCUUGGUCCUAUACAUGUUUAGUUAUGAGAAGAAUGGGUUUUGGAGAAAUGAUCAUUGACAUGAUUUGGAGACUUGUGUCAAACAAUUGGUACUCUAUCAUUAUCAAUGGUUCUAGACAUGGUUCUGUCAUUCUACAAGAGGUCUCAAGCAAGGUGAUCCUCUGUCCUCAUCUCUCUUUAUCAUUGGUGCAGAGGUCCUUACUAGGAUGCUAAACAAUCUUCAUCAACACUAUCUCUAUAAGGGCUUUCAUAUGGAAAGAAAUGGUCCUCAAGUAAAUCAUUUGAGUUUUGCAGAUGAUAUAAUAAUCUUCACAUCAACUAGCAAAUACUCUUUGAAUCUUAUUAUCAGGACUAUGCAGAUGUAUGAAACAACUUCUGGACAGCUAUUAACAAGUCAGCUACUUAUUGCAGAAAAAACACCUCCUGAUAUCAUAGAAAGAACUAAAGCUAUUACUGGUUUUAGUCACACUUUUGGGCCUAUCACAUAUUUGGGUUGUCCUUUAUAUAUUGGUCGUCAAAAGAAUAUUUAUUUCACUUCAUGGUGGUUAAAGUUAUUGGCAGAAUCAAAGGAUGGCAAACCAAAAUGUUAAGCUAUGGGGGCAGAAGUACUCCUGUCAAAUCUGUCUUAUAUUCAAUGCCCAUAUAUCUGCUAACUGCUAUCAUCCCUACGACUACUACCCUCAAACAGAUCAAGUGUCUUAUAACUGACUUCUUUUGGGGGUUGGAGAAGGACAAAAGAAAAUACCAUUGGGCCUCCUGGGAAACUCUAAGUUUUCUUUGUGAAGAGGGUGGAAUUGGUAAUUGAAGAAUCUUGGUGGAACUUCAGAUCCAAAAAGUCCCUUUGGGGUGACUUCCUCAAAGCUAAAUAUUGUCAAAAAGCUAAUCCUGUCAUUAAAAAUGGAACUCUGGACAAUCCAUUGGUGGAAGAAUAUGAUCAUUAACAGGAUGGAAGUUGAACCUCACAUUCAAUGGACUAUUAACUCUGGAAGCUGCAGUUUUUAGUGGGAUAACUGGCUGGGGGUGAGAUCUCCAGCAAAUCACAAUGAUUACCUUCCCAGUCUAAAUAAUGUCACAGUUUCCAGCUACCUUGUUAAUGGAGAGUGGGAUGAGGAUAAAUAGGACAGCAUGCACCUCAACAACUCAUUCAUAAAAUCCUCAAUACUAAUGUUAGAGUGCAACAGGACAUCCCAGAUCAAGCCAUCUGGAUACUUACUACCAGUGGGAGUUUCACUUGUGCUUCAGCAUGGGAGCAUGUUAGGAAGAAAAGGAAUAGGACUUUAACUGACUCCCUAAUUUGGCAUAAAGCUAUUCCUUUCAAGGUCUCCUUUUUAUUAUGGAGAGCACUCAGACUCAAGCUCCCAACAAAUGACAAAAUUAGUGCCUUUGGACACUCUACUGCAAAUUGUUCAGGUUAUUACAUUCCAGGAAGAUGUUGAUCAUAUUUUCAUUUCUGGAAAAUUUGUUAAGCAUAUUUGGAAGCAUUUUGCUAGUAGGCUGGGGGUACAACAUAGCAGAACCCCUAUGAGGAGUAUGCUGAUGAAUUGGUGGAUUACUAAACCUAACAAUGAAGUUCACAAGCUCAUAAUGAAAGCCACCCCCAUUUUCAUUUGCUGGAACCUUUGGAAGAAUAGGUGUGCUAGUAAAUAUGGUGGGAAACAAUCAAGUACAACUAGAGUGAAAUUCUUUAUCUCCAAGGAGCUUCACGUGCUUAUUAUCACUACUUAUCCAUCCAUCAAAUGGCCUAACAACUGGAAUGAGUUUAUUUCUCUGGUGGAGAACUGCCAACAUGAUAUAAAGGUCUCUGGUAGUGCUCUGGAGAAUCCAGGUAGGAUUGGAGCUGGGGGCCUACUGAGAGAUCAUAAAGGCAAACUGAUCUAUGCCUUUGCUACACCUUUAGGUGUGGGUUCAAACAAUCAAGCAGAAGUUAUGGCUGCAGCCUUUGGGAUGAAUUGGUAUAUUUAACAUGGGUAUAGUAGGAUCAUUUUGGAAGUAGAUUCUGAACUUUUAGUAAUGGCUCAAGCAAGAAAGUACCCCCUCCUUGGAGCAUCUACAAAAAUAUCAUGGAACUUCAAGACUUGAUUAAAAUGACUGAUUUUUUUCAAUGCAAUCAUGUCUUUAGAGAGGCCAAUUUCCCUGCUGAUACUCUUUCAAAACACAGUCAUUUGAUGAAAAAUACUCAACAUUUUUACAAUUAUCUUCAUCUGCCUAAAGAGACUAGAGGUUACAUCAAUUUAGACAGAAUGGGCAUGGCAUGCUUCAGAAGGAAAAAGUUGAAGAGGACCAAAAAACCACCCUAGAAGAUGGCUGAUCAGUAUCCUUCUUCAUUUCCUUUUUUUGCAACUUCUUCCCUUGAGCUACAUAUUAUAGAUACAGCUUCUAGGAAGAGGUUAGUUUUUGGUUAGGCUCUUUUCUCUAUUGUAAGGGAAGAGUCUCCCUUAUUUAUGAUUUCCUAGUUUAUAUGUAUUGAGAGGAAUCCUCUCUUCUAGGUACAUAGAUCUAGGUUUCUUUCAAUAGAUUUUAGGGUCAAGUUGAUAAGCCUUAUUAGGCUAGUCAACAUAUGAUCUACCAUGGGAUUGGAGAUUAGGUUUAUGUCCCCCUCCUUGUAUAUUUUGUUUAUAGGAUUGGAGAUUAGGUUUAUGUCCCCCCUCCUUGUAUAUUUUGUUUUGUUUUAUUAUAUGCUAAGGCCUAGGGGGGUUUCUAAGCCCCUGACCCCUCAAGGGUCAUUAAAAUAAAAUAAAAUUAAAAAACUAAGGAACAAGAGAAGAACAAAUUAUAGUAGGAACCUUUUUGAUAAAAAUAACAGAGAUGACAAACAUUUUCAAACAUUUUCACUGUCAUCCAAAUACUGGUACGUAACCUCCCACACUAGUCUCAUGACCAUAAUUCAUAGCAUCCAAAUAUUUCCUCAAUUGCUUUUUCCAUCAAACCAAGUUUGCAGAUUCGAGUUACUGCUAAACUGAAAGAACUCUUGACCUUUGACAGACCAAAUAGAUAAAAAGAAGAAAAUAUAUUUAAGCUAUUAGCAACAAGGAAAUCCACUGAAGUUAGAUACUAUACUAGACAGACUCUUAUUCCAUGAUUCCCUUUCCCUAUUAACGGUAUUUUAAAGAGCACUAGUAAUGAAGAUCCUACAUCAAACCAUAAUCCCGGCAAUGGUUAUGCCUAGUAUUAUUGUAACAUUCACCUGGCAUAAUUUUCAUGUUACCCACACUAAGCUAGCGUUUGGUCAUAAAUUUUCAAAUAUUUUUGGUAAAUAUUAUUUGGGUGAAAAAUUUGGGUGAAAUUUCACCAUCUGUUUGGCCAUAGUAUUUGGGAAAUAUAUUUCACUUUUUCAGAAAAAUAUGAUUUAUACCCAUAAGUUUUAAAAACUAUCAAAACUAACCAUAAAUUUGUAUUACAAGUCAAUUGGAUCUUCGUUGCAACAAAUAACAAAUAGUGUCCAUGACACUAGAGCAAUGUGGUAGUUUGGAGUGAGUGUAACAAGCAUCAUUCCAUACAUCGUGAAGUAACGACAAAGCACAUGACUUUGUUAUCAUGACCCGAUUGUUCAUCAUUUUCAUCAAUAACCAUAUCAUCACUGUCAUAUUCACUGAAUAUUUCAUCACUACUUUGGUGUUCACGUAAAAAUUUAUGUAAUACAACGUAAACAUUACUAUGGAGGGUGUUUUUGUAAAAGACAAAAGUUUGGUGUAAAAUUUUAAUUUUCAAAAGAUCCCAAAUAAUGAGAUUUGGCCCAAAUACUAAAAAAAUUAGUAUUUGGGAAUUUGGGAUAUUUGCCAAAAAUAUUUGUCAAAUAAUGACAAAUUGUAUGGACAAACACUAUUUGCCAAAUUUCCCCCCAAAUAUUAUUUGGGAAAUCUAUGGCCAAACGGGCCCUAAAGAUAUGUCUCAUUCCCUUAAAAUGCAGCUUGAAAAGAAAAUCAAUUUCCAACUUUAUUUAGUUUUUGAGUUUUGAAGACACCAACGUCUACAAACAAAUAAAUGUUCUAAAAAAAGUUGUUUCAUAGAAUAUGCAUAAAGAAAAAGGACAAGAGAAGAUCUCAAGCAGACCUUGUGUGACAAUGUCCCUAACAUGCAAUGUAGAAACAACAAACACAGUGUAUUCUCACAAGUGGGGUCUAGGGAGAGAAGUAUGCAUGCAAACUUUACCCCUACCUUUGAGAAGGUAGAGGCCUUAUCCAAAAGAACCUUAAACAUGCAAUGUAUUUUUCGAUAUUUGACAAUAGAAGAAGAAUUGAACUGCACUUGCGAGACAUGUAUUAAGUGGAAACUUACAAAUCAUUAGUUACACAAUUGUAAUUCAUUUGAGCAUUUGCAGCCUUCAUUGUUGCUUAAUCCUUGUUGGUUUUGUGAAAGCGGACAGACAAGGCUUUCAAUGUAGAUUUUUAUUUUUUUUGAUAACCGAGAAAUCCGUUUGUGACCCGCCCUUUGGACCAAUCAUAGCCUUCUAAACUCGGUGGAUAAUGGG
rnacentral:lncRNA from 1 species